AAGUCGUAACAAGGUUUCCGUAGGUGAACCUGCGGAAGGAUCAUUAUCAAGUUGCGAGACCUCUUUGGGGUCUCAAAACCCGCCCUUGUGUCAUUGUCACGAGAGUCCGGUGCGAACUGGGCAGCUCGUGUACUUACUUCGGUCGAUUUGUGUUGGGUCACUGGGCGGUUAGCGAUUAGCCAAGCAGGACCGGACCGCGACCGGCAGGUGCUUGCACCUACCUCUUUACUCUUUGAGAACUUCUGAAGUCUGAAGCAAAUGAGAAAUGAAAAGCAAAACUUUCAACAACGGAUCUCUUGGCUCUG
rnacentral:misc_RNA from 1 species